rnacentral:rRNA from 1 species
AUUGAACGCUGGCGGCAUGCCUUACACAUGCAAGUCGAACGGUAACGCGGGGCAACCUGGCGACGAGUGGCGAACGGGUGAGUAAUACAUCGGAACGUGCCCAGUAAUGGGGGAUAGCCCGGCGAAAGCCGGAUUAAUACCGCAUACGACCUAAGGGUGAAAGAGGGGGAUCGCAAGACCUCUCGUUAUUGGAGCGGCCGAUGGCAGAUUAGGUAGUUGGUGGGGUAAAGGCCUACCAAGCCGACGAUCUGUAGCUGGUCUGAGAGGGCGACCAGCCACACUGGGACUGAGACACGGCCCAGACUCCUACGGGAGGCAGCAGUGGGGAAUUUUGGACAAUGGACGCAAGUCUGAUCCAGCAAUGCCGCGUGCGGGAAGAAGGCCUUCGGGUUGUAAACCGCUUUUGUCAGGGAAGAAAUCUUCUGGGUUAAUACCUCGGGAGGAUGACGGUACCUGAAGAAUAAGCACCGGCUAACUACGUGCCAGCCGCCGCUGUAAAAC